rnacentral:rRNA from 1 species
GAUGAACGCUGGCGGCGUGCCUAACACAUGCAAGUCGAACGAAGCAACUCAAAGUUUUCGGACAGAGAGUUGACUGAGUGGCGGACGGGUGAGUAACGCGUGGGUAACCUGCCUCAUACAGGGGGAUAACAGUUAGAAAUGACUGCUAAUACCGCAUAAGCGCACAGUACCGCAUGGUACAGUGUGAAAAGCCGAGACGGUAUGAGAUGGACCCGCGUCUGAUUAGCGAGUUGGUGGGGUAACGGCUCACCAAGUCGACGAUCGGUAGCCGGACUGAGAGGUUGAACGGCCACAUUGGGACUGAGACACGGCCCAGACUCCUACGGGAGGCAGCAGUGGGGGAUAUUGCACAAUGGGCGAAAGCCUGAUGCAGCAACGCCGCGUGAAGGAAGAAGGUCUUCGGAUUGUAAACUUUUGUUUUUGGUGACGAAUUCUGACGGUAGCCAAAGAGGAAGCCACGGCUAACUACGUGCCAGCAGCCGCCGUAACAC